rnacentral:rRNA from 1 species
AACGAACGCUGGCGGCAGGCUUAACACAUGCAAGUCGAGCGGAGAUGAGGUGCUUGCACCUUAUCUUAGCGGCGGACGGGUGAGUAAUGCUUAGGAAUCUGCCUAUUAGUGGGGGACAACAUUCCGAAAGGAAUGCUAAUACCGCAUACGUCCUACGGGAGAAAGCAGGGGAUCUUCGGACCUUGCGCUAAUAGAUGAGCCUAAGUCGGAUUAGCUAGUUGGUGGGGUAAAGGCCUACCAAGGCGACGAUCUGUAGCGGGUCUGAGAGGAUGAUCCGCCACACUGGGACUGAGACACGGCCCAGACUCCUACGGGAGGCAGCAGUGGGGAAUAUUGGACAAUGGGGGGAACCCUGAUCCAGCCAUGCCGCGUGUGUGAAGAAGGCCUUAUGGUUGUAAAGCACUUUAAGCGAGGAGGAGGCUACUGAGACUAAUACUCUUGGAUAGUGGACGUUACUCGCAGAAUAAGCACCGGCUAACUCUGUGCCAGCCGCCGCGGUAAAAC